rnacentral:rRNA from 1 species
GACGAACGCUGGCGGCGUGCUUAACACAUGCAAGUCGAACGGAAGGGCCCUGCUUGUGUGGGGUGCUCGAGUGGCGAACGGGUGAGUAACACGUGAGUAACCUGCCCUUGACUGUGGGAUAACUUCAGGCAACUGGGGCUAAUACCGGAUAGGAGCGCCUGCUGCAUGGGGGGGGUUGGAAAGUUGCGUCGGAUGGGGGUGGACUCGCGGCUUAUCAGCUUGUUGGGGGGGUAGUGGCUUACCCAGGCAUUGACGGGUAGCCGGCCUGAGAGGGUGACCGGCCACAUUGCGCCUGCGGGAGGCCGCAGACGCCUAUGGUGGGCAGCAGUGGGGAGUAUUGCCCAGCGGUGGCAAGCCUGAUGCGAAGACGCUGCGAUCGUGAUGCCGGUCUUCUUGUUGUAAACGGCUGUCGCCUGUUACCAAGCUGUAUUGACGUUAACGGGUAAAGAAGCACCGGCUAACUACGUG